ensembl:lncRNA
GGUUAAGGCAGCAGGGUGAGAAUCGGUCUGUGUCACAGGUGCAUUUCCCUCAAGUGUCUGUGGUUUCACACACGAGUCACACAGCUGUGCGUGUUUGCAUUCGCUCUGUAACGAAGGCACGACAGCUGCCGGAGUUUCAGCAGGAAGAGCGCGACAACGGUGACCAAAGGGUUUCUGGAGAUGUCUAUUUAAAUAGCGGUUGGAGAGAGUCGGACUGAGUCACGGGUCCCGUCUGCCACUGUGGGAGCGUCAGGAGAAGUCCCCCUCUGCUGGAUCCUAUUUGGCCGAUCACCUGACAGGAGCCAGACGGGUCACCGGUGGGAGCUGAAUCAGAUCAGACGCGGCGGGCCACGUCUAGACGAGGAGCAGACCCCCUUCCUUGUAUUGUUUGUUUGGUAGGUGGUGGUGAGAGAAAAACAGGAAGAGAGUGUGACUAAGCCAGUGAAAACCUGGUGUCCGGGAGCAGCGAAGGCUUCCUGCCGUCGGAUGUUUCCUCACACACACACACACACACACACAC